rnacentral:rRNA from 1 species
UACGAAGGGGGCUAGCGUUGCUCGGAAUCACUGGGCGUAAAACGCACGUAGGCGGCUCUUUAAGUCAGAGGUGAAAUCCUGGGGCUCAACCCCAGAACUGCCUUUGAUACUGAGGAGCUUGAGUCCGGGAGAGGUGAGUGGAACUGCGAGUGUAGAGGUGAAAUUCGUAGAUAUUCGCAAGAACACCAGUGGCGAAGGCGGCUCACUGGCCCGGUACUGACGCUGAGGUGCGAAAGCGUGGGGAGCAAACAGG